GAGUUUGAUCCUGGCUCAGAUUGAACGCUGGCGGCAGGCUUAACACAUGCAAGUCGAACGGUAACAUGAGUGCUUGCACUUGAUGACGAGUGGCGGACGGGUGAGUAAGGUAUGGGGAUCUGCCGAAUGGAGGGGGACAACAGUUGGAAACGACUGCUAAUACCGCAUAAUGUUGAGAGACCAAAGCAUGGGACCUUCGGGCCAUGCGCCAUUUGAUGAACCCAUAUGGGAUUAGCUAGUUGGUAGGGUAAAGGCUUACCAAGGCGACGAUCUCUAGCUGGUCUGAGAGGAUGACUAGCCACACUGGAACUGAGACACGGUCCAGACUCUUACGGGAGGCAGCAGUGGGGAAUAUUGCACAAUGGGGGAAACCCUGAUGCAGCCAUGCCGCGUGUAUGAAGAAGGCCUUCGGGUUGUAAAGUACUUUCGGUAAUGAGGAAGGUGGUGUAUCUAAUAGGUGCAUCAAUUGACGUUAAUUACAGAAGAAGCACCGGCUAACUCCGUGCCAGCAGCCGCGGUAAUACGGAGGGUGCGAGCGUUAAUCGGAAUGACUGGGCGUAAAGGGCAUGUAGGCGGAUAAUUAAGUUAGGUGUGAAAGCCCUGGGCUCAACCUAGGAAUUGCACUUAAAACUGGUUAACUAGAGUAUUGUAGAGGAAGGUAGAAUUCCACGUGUAGCGGUGAAAUGCGUAGAGAUGUGGAGGAAUACCGGUGGCGAAGGCGGCCUUCUGGACAGAUACUGACGCUGAGAUGCGAAAGCGUGGGGAGCAAACAGGAUUAGAUACCCUGGUAGUCCACGCUGUAAACGAUGUCGAUUUGGAGUUUGUUGCCUUGAGUGAUGGGCUCCGAAGCUAACGCGAUAAAUCGACCGCCUGGGGAGUACGGCCGCAAGGUUAAAACCCAAAUGAAUUGACGGGGGCCCGCACAAGCGGUGGAGCAUGUGGUUUAAUUCGAUGCAACGCGAAGAACCUUACCUGGUCUUGACAUCCACAGAAUCUUGCAGAGAUGCGAGAGUGCCUUCGGGAACUGUGAGACAGGUGCUGCAUGGCUGUCGUCAGCUCGUGUUGUGAAAUGUUGGGUUAAGUCCCGCAACGAGCGCAACCCUUAUCCUUUGUUGCCAGCGGUUUGGCCGGGAACUCAAAGGAGACUGCCGUUGAUAAAGCGGAGGAAGGUGGGGACGACGUCAAGUCAUCAUGGCCCUUACGACCAGGGCUACACACGUGCUACAAUGGCGUAUACAAAGGGAGGCGA
rnacentral:rRNA from 1 species